rnacentral:lncRNA from 1 species
UAGAAACCAUCUGUUUUCAUUUUUAGGGUGUUACGUAGUUAAUGCCUUGGCUUAGCAGUGGUUACUUGGAAAUAAAGAUGUGUCCUGCUGUGUUGACAGGCCCUUCAUGAGGCAGCACACAUGUCAUUCUUGCUACUGUGUACCUAGCUGCUGAAAUGAAUCCUAUAAAUUAUAUGAAACUAAAAAGAUUUUCUGAUCUUAUAGAGUUGAAGUAUUGAUAACACCAAGGAACUCUAUCACAAUUUGAAAAGAUAAGCAAAAGUUUGAUUUCCAGACACUACAGAAGAAGUAAAAAUGGUAAGUUUGUUUUUGAUCACAGAUACUGUUUCUUCACUCAUGUACAGAGAUGUUUGUAGCCUUUUCCA